UGCCGAGGUUUUUCUCGGUAGUUAACUGCAGUUGGUUUUGAACUUCCUCGACAGUUAACUACAGAGAGGUAU
rnacentral:pre_miRNA from 1 species